rnacentral:lncRNA from 1 species
GUCUGCAUAUUGAUAUUAUAAAAGAUCAGCUGAAAGAUAAAAUGUUAUCCUUUUCGCGAGUGAGUGCAGCGAAUGCUUUCAAAAAGUCUUCAUAUGCGCUCAGCUGCAAUUUUUACAAUAUCAAUAUGUAGUCAAUCAGAUUACUGAAUUAUUGAUUCGUAUUAGUAAAUUUUGCAUGAUAAAAUAUGUGUUUUCAUUGUUUCAACUGCAAACCGGACGAUUACAGGACAAGUUUUGGUCAAUCGUAUUAAAGCCUGUAAUUCCUUAUAACGUCGAUGGCGUGUUCGUGUCAAAUGUAUGUAGGCCGCCUCAACGUACUACACGCAACAAAGCUGUGAUAGCCAUUUUAUUCAUAGCUUAGUACAUUGGACGAUCGACCAAACUUGAUAUCAGCCUGAGUUAUUAAAAUUCAAUUCUAUAAUAAUAAAGCUGUUCGGGUCAAAUGUAUUUAGGCCGGGUCAACGUACUACACGCCACAAAUCUGUAACAGCUAUCUUAUGCAUAGCUUAGUAGUGUGAUACAGACAUUGGACGAUCGACCAAGCUUGAUAUCAGCCUGAGUUUUCAAACUUCAAUUCAAUAAUAAUAAAGCUGUUCGGAUCAACUUUAUUUAGGCUGGUUCAACGUACGUCACGCCACA